rnacentral:lncRNA from 12 species
CUCCCAUUCACUGUGGCCACGCCCCCGUUCGUGACAGGCCACGCCCCCAGCGCCGCUUCCGGCCGUUGGAGCCAUGGCGGGAGGGGGGGGGGGGGGGGGGGGGGGGGGGGGGGGGGGGGGGGGGGGGGGGGGGGGGGAGCGCCUGAGGGAGCGGCGGGGCUGAGCGGGAACAGCGCCUGCGGAGCCCCAGCUGGAGCAGCCUCAGGGACUGCGGGAUCCCGGGGGGUCGGGAGGAGACGGGGGCUGAGAGCUGGAAGUGCUGGGGCUGGAGGAACCGCGUCUGGUGCUGCGGGCCUGAGGGAGUCGGGAGUGUUGGAGGGGCUCAGAAGGGGCUAGGGCAGCCCGGGGGGUGUGGAGGAGUGGAGGAGCCGUGAGGGGCUGGGGCAGCCCGGGGGAGCACUUCACUGGUGUGCACUGAGCUCGGGGGUUGCUCUGGGGUCGCAGGAUAAAUGUGACAUUAAACAUGCCACUUGCCCCAGCCAGCAGGCGAUUUGAACUCAGUAAAACGCAGUUACAUGAAGAUUACUCACUGCUUUCAGCAUUGGAUUGAUGCAGUGACCCAGCACACAAGUAUUUAUCAUCUUUGGAGAAGCAGGCACUGCAAAGGCCUUGCAGCAGAGCUGUGGGCUGAAAAUGGAUGGUUGGCAUUAGAUUGUUGUGCUGGAGUGCUGCUGGAAGGGUGGUGGGAGCCGAAUAGAGCUCCUAGGUUAGGAAGCACUCAGAGCUGUGCAGGAAAGAGCCUGGAAGGACAGAGUGAAGCCCUUUAUUCCACCUGUGGAAUGGAGUAGCUCAGACACAUCCUUGGUGUGUUGUCAGAUGAAGGAAAGUCAGCAUUGAUCCAACCUCCUGCACCACUUUUGUUCUUUUUUCCUCCUGGAUUCUCCUCAGCUGGCUCAAUUUCUGUUUUCUAUUGCUAUUGUUAGCUUGAGAAGUCUCAUCCUCUUCCCUGGUUUGUGCCAUGUGUCUCACCCUGGUGACAUGAGCAGGACCAGCUGCAGACAAAUAACUGCUUUUGUCAGGAUUUGGGUAUUCUUGGGAAUCCUGGGAGCUGGAUCCUGCCUGGCAGCCUGGGGCAGUAAUCGAGCACUGACACUCAGCGCCGUGGUGCCUCAGAAUAGCUCAGCUCAAGUUGCUGCUGGCAGAGCUCCAAGAGACCAUGGGCUCCUCUGCUGCCAAGCAGGAGAUCUGCCUUCUGUGACCUUCCAAAGGGAGCCCUUGGGCCCCAGGGCAGUCCUGAAGGACUGGAUCCCUGCUGGCCAUGCUGCAGGUCACCCUGUAAUCACCGAGGAAAUCAAGGAUCUGGCUUCUGAUGGUCUGGGUGGGCCUGUGGAUCUGCAAGGAUUAAAUCAUCCUGUGCUGUGGCAAACUGCUUUUGCUGCCUCUUGAUUGCCCUGUGGUUGGCUGGUUUCUGUGGCUCUGGAGGAAGGAUGUUGGUGACAUCCUGCCUGGAGUUCAGUGGGAAGGCAAGGGCUGUCCCAGAGAUCAGCUCUGUGAAAAAGAGCUGCCUUUGCUCAGUUAUUUCAGCAUCCCACUCAGGCAGAUGUGUCCAGUGUGUCACACCCCUCACCUGUGGAACAAGGAAAUCAGAGGCUGUUCCUGCUCUGUCUGCCCUCAGAUGCGG